rnacentral:rRNA from 1 species
UGGGGAAUAUUGCACAAUGGGCGAAAGCCUGAUGCAGCGACGCCGCGUGAGGGAUGACGGCCUUCGGGUUGUAAAACCUCUUUCAGCAGGGAAGAAGCGAAAGUGACGGUACCUGCAGAAGAAGCGCCGGCUAACUACGUGCCAGCAGCCGCGGUAAUACGUAGGGCGCAAGCGUUGUCCGGAAUUAUUGGGCGUAAAGAGCUCGUAGGCGGUUAGUCGCGUCUGCUGUGAAAACUCGAGGCUCAACCUCGGGCUUGCAGUGGGUACGGGCUGACUAGAGUGCGGUAGGGGUGACUGGAAUUCCUGGUGUAGCGGUGGAAUGCGCAGAUAUCAGGAGGAACACCGAUGGCGAAGGCAGGUCACUGGGCCGCAACUGACGCUGAGGAGCGAAAGCAUGGGG